CGGAAAUCCACAACCACCCAGCUUCACGUGCUGCUUCCUGUCAGACCGGAAGUCUGUCAUCCACUUGGAGGUGGAGUCGGGCACGUGCAGCUGGGAGAGUUUGUCCUGCAGCAGAGACGGGAUGAUGGUGUUGAAGGCAGAGCUGAAGUCCACAAACAGGAUCCUGGCGUAGGUUCCUGGGGAGUCCAGAUGCUGGAGGAUGUAGUGUAGGGCAAUGUUGACAGCAUCGUCCACAGACCUGUUGGCUCUGUAGGCGAACUGCAGGGGGUCCAGGAUGGGGUCGGUGAGGGACUUCAGGUGGGUCAGGACUAGCCGUUCAAAAGACUUCAUGACUACAGAGGUCAGGGCGACAGGCCUGUAGUCAUUGAGUCCUGUAAUCCUGGGCUUCUUGGGAACAGGGAUGAUGGUGGAGGCCUUGAAGCAGGCUGGUACGUGGCAUGUCUCCAGGGAGGUGUUGAAGAUGUCAGUGAACACUGUGCCAGCUGGUCAGCACAAUGCUUCAGGGUGUGUGUGAUAAGGCAUAAGUAGUAAUAAUAAUUAUCACUGAUCCAAUAAUAAAUCAAUGAUCUAUACUGAAUGGUAUAAAGAUGACCUUUUAUAAUAUAUAUGAUAUUAUUUCCCUUUUAAGUCCUAUUGUCAUCUGAGCAUGCAGGUUAGUAUUUGCAUUUGUGAGUGGUAGGGUGGUAGCGUGCUGUUGUGCAAUUUUAAAGAAGUGAAUUUGCUGAUUCACUGCCCUAUAGCUGAGAAAAACACAUUCUCCAUCAGUGGAAAUGGGGAAAUUGGGUUGAGGGCCUUUAGUCUUUCGGUGUUUAUGGAUGCACACGUGUAGGCGUUACUAAAUGCAAAUGCUGUACACAGCUUCAGAAAGGAGGCUGAACAGAAGGAGGAGUUCCGCAUUAGAGCGGAAGAGGGGAAACGCUUACCCUAACUUUACUGGACACAGGGCUCUCCUUGUUGUUGCCCAAGACGACGACAUUCAGGCUAAUUUACAGGAAGAGGAGGGGAAUUGGAGGAGGAGGAAAAUAAGGAGGAAUAGGAAGCUGAGGGCAGAAGGUGACUAACAGUGACUGUCACUCAGCCUGCUGCAGCCUGUAGGCGGAGGGGGGAGUGCCGUCACAACUAGUGAGACGGCACAUGAAUGCACUAGUCGGUUGGUCCCAGUCGCCAAACAACUGGCAACUGUCACGGAGUGUGUGCAGGGUUAAACACGUGGAGGAGCAGAUCUGUCUUGGCUACACUAUGUUGUCUUUGGGAUAGUUGAAGAGUUGCCGUUCGCACCGCCAUCGCCUGUCUUCAUCUCUCUCUCUGUCCCGCGACGUCCUGGAGAUUGACAUCCACUAUCGCCAGCAUCCCGAUAUGUAGCCAGCAGCACAAGCAGAGCGUAUUUCCCCCCUUUGUGAACUCCUUUUCCUCUUAAACAGGUAAUGCACAUGUGUCUAUAUGUGUCUGUCUCAGUUCCUAAAGUGCUUCUUUAUUAUACAGUAGAAAUAGUAUGCCCAUUCAAUAGGGGUGUAACGAUUCAUUCACUGAAUCGAUUAAUUGAUUUAUAUUCCUGCGAUCCAACUGAAUCGAUCUGUGCUCCGCAAAUCGGCCUUCCGGACGACAUAUAUCGAUUACAAAUCGAUUGAAAUGGUACAUAAUCGAUUGUAUCGAUACUUGGAAACUGCACAUUGGAUUUAAGUACAAAAACGGUGUGGAUGUGUGGAUGUGUGGUUUUUUUGUUUUUUUUUAGCACUUAGACACGUUAAACGUUACUCGAUUCAGUCUGCCUCUCUGUGACGUCAGUACGCAGCGGCUGCAGCCGCUCGAAACUCUGAACAACAACAAAACACAGCGUGGAGGACACGAAUGCGAGCGAGACAUUUACAAACCAACUUAUCGAUCCAGCGUGUGGAAACAUUUUGGCUUUUGCAAACACGGAGGUGUUCUAAAUAAGUCGGUCGCUGUUUGUAGAAUAUGUAGAAGCCAAAUAAAAAAACACGGAAACGCGACAAAUCUUUCUGGCUAUCUACUAAGGCGCCGUGGGAUUAAACAACGCCGACAGUCAGGACCUCUAGCAGCGUUAUCGCUGCAGCAGCAGCAGAAGGUAACUCCAGCUCUGCAGACACCUCAGGCCUCGCCAGCACUAAACUCAACAUCACAGUAACAAUUGCCAAGUUUAUCUGUAAAGACAUGCGACCCUACAAUGUGGUUGAAAAUCCGGGGUUCUGUGAAUUGAUCCAAACAUUGUGUAAUUAUUGUGUAAUGUUUACAUUGAAAAUGGCACUUGAUUCAAAUAAAAGGUUAAUACAUUUGUCAUCAAUUGUUGUUUGCUUGUUUAUAAUAUCCAU
ensembl:lncRNA